rnacentral:rRNA from 1 species
GGGAAACUCACCAGAUAAGACAGCUGAAUGAUAGUCGGGCUGAAGACUCUACUUGACUAGCUGAGAGGAGUGCAUGGCCGUCGUCAGUUCGUACUGUGAAGCAUCCUGUUAAGUCAGGCAACGAGCGAGACCCACGCCAACAGUUGCCAGCUCGUCCUCCGGGAUGGUGGGGACACUGCUGGGACCGCCUCUGCUAAAGAGGAGGAAGGAAUGGGCAACGGUAGGUCAGCAUGCCCCGAAUUAUCUGGGCUACACGCGGGCUACAAUGGGUGGGACAAUGGGUAUCGACACCGAAAGGUGAAGGCAAUCUCCUAAACCCAUCCGUAGUUCGGAUUGUGGGCUGCAACUCGCCCACAUGAAGCUGGAAUCUGUAGUAAUCGUGUCUCAAAAUGGCACGGUGAAUAUGUCCCUGCUCCUU